GUCUCCAUGGUCUAGUGGUUAAGGCAUUUGGCGUACUCACCCAAAGACCCUGGUUCAAUACCAGAUGGAGACA
rnacentral:tRNA from 1 species